CAUCACAUGGUGACAAAAAGUCAGAGGGACCAGAGUUGCUGUUUUACAACACCUCACAAAGCAGGGAGUACUAUGAACCAGGGACCUUGAACCAGGAAGCACUAAUGUUCAUUUCCUGUGAGGACCCUGACCUAAACACCUCUCAGCUGUCGCCACCUCUUAAAGAUUUCACACCAGCUCUGAGCAACUGAUUUGAAGAAGCCAGAGGACCAGGGAGCCUGGGUGAUGUAAUCAAUCAGGAGUUAGCGACCCUGGAACAAAGAACGGAAAAAUAAAAGGCGGAAAGAGAACUGGACAGGAGUUGUCAAACCGCAGCCUAUUCCACUGGCCAGUUCAGGCACCAGCCUACUUUAAACAAUUUAACAACUGGGGCAUUUUAAUGAAUUGUGUAGUCUUGAGAGAUAGCAACGGGGGAGAAAAACUUCACCUUUUGAACAACUGAUCUUGGAACACUUCAUGAAUUUGGGUGUCAUCCUUGCGCAGGGGCCAUGCUAAUCUUCUCUGUAUCGCUCAAAUUUUAUUAUAUGUGCUGCUGAAGUGAGCGCUGAAAUUGAAUUGUUGCUACUUCUAUGUGAGAAAGUCAUACUUUUGUCUUUUUGCUUUCUCAAAGUGUUAUUUCCAGGCAAACCAAAACUGCACUGCAGUUUGACCCCAGUGGGUUGUGGGAAGCCUCUGAACUCACUGCUUGAUGGGUGGUGUCAAGGCCUUCCUGAAGUGUGAGUCAUCCACUACCUACCCUGCAACUUCUUCCCCUGGCCCUGGGAUCACCAUUACUCAUGAAUCCUUUUAAUCCAUUUGAACAACAAUUCCUUCCUUUGUGAAGCUCUUCUUUUAACAUAAGAUUGUUUUAACGGAGUGGCUUUCUCCUCCCAAAGCUCUGCUGAUGACUGUGUGUCUCAUUCCUCACCUCUCACUGACUGUCCUGCAGGACGCUGACUUUUCUCCCCUAAUCUGAUUGACCACCACUGCUGUUCCUUCACACCAUAAAAUGAAUGCUUUUGCCACAUGGUACUGCCAUGAAGAGGUACUUUGCCACAGGCUCAGAAGCAUUGGGACAAAGCAAUUGUGGACUGAAACCUCUAAAUCUAAGAGGCAAAAUAAACUAUUCUCUUUUUAAGUUCAUUAUCUGAUCUGAGGUAUUUCUUACAAUUAUGGAAAGCUGACUAAAACAAGUACUUACUGAUAAGAAAAUGUGUGUGUCUCGCCUUUCUAUAUGUGGAAUUAUGGCCCAUUCAAGAUGUUUUGUCAACAGUGGAACAUAUCUGAUCCUUUCUACAGACCACACACAGAAGUCACUGAAAAUGGAUUAAAGAUAUAAACAAAACACCUGAAAUCAUAAACUCAGAAGAAAACAGGAAAGUUUACAGAUGUCGGUCUGGAAAUUAUUUCUUAGUUAUGAUACCAAGCCACAGACAAUAAAAGCAAAAAUAGACAAGUGGGA